AACGAACGCUGGCGGCGCGCCUAAUACAUGCAAGUCGAGCGAGAAGACGUAGCAAUACGUUUGUAAAGCGGCGAACGGGUGAGGAAUACAUGGGUAACCUACCCUCGAGUGGGGAAUAACUAGCCGAAAGGUUAGCUAAUACCGCGUACGCUCCUUGGACUUCGGUUCAGGGAGGAAAGCGAUACCGUGGGUAUCGCGCUCUUGGAUGGGCUCAUGUCCUAUCAGCUUGUUGGGAGGUAACGGCUCACCAAGGCUUCGACGGGUAGCUGGUCUGAGAGGACGAUCAGCCACACUGGCACUGCGACACGGGCCAGACUCCUACGGGAGGCAGCAGUAAGGAAUAUUGCGCAAUGGGCGAAAGCCUGACGCAGCGACGCCGCGUGGGGGAUGAAGGUCUUCGGACUGUAAACCCCUUUCGGGAGGGAAGAUGGAACGAGCAAUCGUUCGGACGGUACCUCCAGAAGCAGCCACGGCUAACUUCGUGCCAGCAGCCGCGGU
rnacentral:rRNA from 1 species